rnacentral:rRNA from 1 species
UGGGGAAUAUUGGACAAUGGGCGCAAGCCUGAUCCAGCCAUACCGCGUGGGUGAAGAAGGCCUUCGGGUUGUAAAGCCCUUUUGUUGGGAAAGAAAUCCUAUCGGUUAAUAACCGGUGGGGAUGACGGUACCCAAAGAAUAAGCACCGGCUAACUUCGUGCCAGCAGCCGCGGUAAUACGAAGGGUGCAAGCGUUACCCGGAAUUACUGGGCGUAAAGCGUGCGUAGGUGGUGGUUUAAGUCUGCUGUGAAAGCCCUGUGCUCAACCUGGGAAUUGCAGUGGAUACUGGAUCACUAGGGUGUGGUAGAGGGAUGAGGAAUAUCUGGUGUAGCAGCGAAAUGCGUAGAGAUCAGAGGGAACAUCAGUAGCGAAGGCGGAAUCCUGGGCAAACACUGACACUGAGGCAAGAAAGCGUGGGAAGCAAACA